UACGGAGGGGGCUAGCGUUGUUCGGAAUUACUGGGCGUAAAGCGCGCGUAGGCGGUGAUCUUUGUCAGAGGUGAAAUCCCGAGGCUCAACUUCGGAAUUGCCUUUGAAACGGGAUCGCUUGAGUCCGAGAGAGGAUGGCGGAAUUCCUAGUGUAGAGGUGAAAUUCGUAGAUAUUAGGAAGAACACCGGUGGCGAAGGCGGCCAUCUGGCUCGGUACUGACGCUCAGGCGCGAAAGCGUGGGGAGCAACAGG
rnacentral:rRNA from 1 species